CUCAGCCCGCUGCCCGAGCGGAAACGCCACUGACCGCACGGGGAUUCCCAGCGCCGGCGCCAGGGGCACCCGGGACACGCCCCCUCCCGCCGCGCCAUUGGCCUCUCCGCCCACCGCCCCGCAUCCAUUGGCCAGCUCGCCGCCAAUCAGCGGAAGCCGCCGGGGCCGCCUAGAGAAGAGGCUGUGCUCUGGGGCUCCGGCUCCUCAGAGAGCCUCGGCUAGCCCCCAGACAUAACAUUGGCUUUCUCCUGUCCUGUUUUUUGCAGUCAGGUGAGUUGUGAAACCAGACAGAUUGGAUGUACCACCAAUUAAGGCUACACAGUUUGAGCAGAGGCCUCACUCUUACCCAGCAAAUCAUUUAUUCCUCCUUUAUGGAUUUUCUGGAAUGUUUACCUUGUUUUACAUUUUAUCUUUGUCCUCAACUAGGAUUCUACUCCUUGAUCCUCUUCACAGUCCAGAUGACCUUGACUACUGCCUUACUGAGAAUUGGAUAUGAGGUUCAGCAAUAUCUCCCUUUUACCUCCUUUGAAUGUCUCUUAAUCCAUCUUUAUUUCUUUUCUCAUCAGUUAGUAACUGGGCUUGAUUGCCUUAAUGUUGAUAGCUUCCAAACUGGUGUCUCUGCCUCCCGGUAGCAUCUUCUGUGUUGUUGGGACAAUUGUCCUAACAUAGAGGUAGAGCCAAUAAUGACUGAUGCAACUCUUAACUGGCUUCUAACUACUCACAGGAUGAAUUAUGAAUUCAUCAACAUGAACGCGAUGUACAAGGUCCCUCAAUUGGCUUUUCUCAACAACUUUUUCAUUUGCUACAGUUUUCUACAUAGACCUCUCGAGUCAUUCUGGACUGAUCGUUUACCCAAAUCAUAGUGACGUUGUCAUACCUCUUUGUAGGCUGGUUCCUUCUGGAACAGUGCCCUCGGUGCUCCUUACUUUUCAAAUACCCUCUCCCCUAUGAUCUUGACUUCUGUGAUCUAUCAUCCUAUAAGCCAAACACCUCUAAAGAAAGGUUAGCAGUGCUUUUCUCCAGAUCUCAGCAGGUUGAAUCAGCAUUUCUCGGGUUGUUAUUGCUUGUUUAAAUUCUCUUAACUAUUCAGAGCUUCUUGAGGGCACAGGUUCUUGUUGAGUCUUGUACCACUAAGCUGCUAGAAUGUGCCUUGAUGCCUUGCCAAUCCUAAGAAAAAUGGAAUGGGUGACAUGUAGAUGUCUUUAUAAGGUUUGAUAGGUUAUUGAUCUCUGAAUAGUUUUGUAAGCUUGCUAGUGCUCUAGAUUAGUACUGUCCAAUAGAAUCUUCUGCAGGGAUGGGAAUGUUCUGCCUUUUUGCCAACCAAUGUAGUAGCCACUAACUAUAUUACUGUUGCACUGGAAAUGUGGCUAGUGUGACUAAAGAACUGAAUUUUCAACUUUAUGUAAUUUAAAUUGCCACAGUAUAAAUUGUAGCUGUAGCCACAAACUUGUGUUGUGGGUUGCUGAAUACUUAAUGUGAAUGUUGAUAACUUUCUCUUCAUGCUGAGCACUAAGGAAGCAAAAGUUGGCCUAUUUAGUUUAUUUUUAUCUUCCCUGCUUGUUUUACCUUUAUCUGUAUACUUUAGCUGUACUUAGCUGAGAGCCAAAUUCAACAAGCCGUUACUUUAAACCUGCCUUGGACAACAGUAUGUUGAGAAAGCAAAGCAGGCGUUGACUAGUUUGGAUUUCAAAAACCAAUGUGUAAUGAAUUUUAGGAAAGUGGGAUUUCAUUAACAGAAGUUUAGCUAGGAAUAGGGACUAUAUCUGAUGCCAAUGAAACCAGGCCUAAAUUUCAGUCCUAUAAGGUUUCGUUUUUGGAGAAACUUGAUCAGAGGAGGCCAGGGCCUAAGUGUCAUAUGCCUGUCAUAUGCAAGUUUCAUCCUGAUAAAGUGUAAAUUAAUAGAUAUAUCCUAACACCAAAAUAUUUGAUUUAUCUGCUAAUAUAACAUGUUGUAAAUGACAAUUUUUUUACUUAAAAUUUCUUACACUUAUAAGACCCUUAGGAUGGGAAUCUUAAAACCGGUCAGUGCACACCAGUUACUGUUUAGUGCAGACUUCCAGUCCCAUACCCAAAGAUUCUGAAUCCAGUUAAGGCAGAGGGGUGGGCAGCACUGGAAUUCCGUAUCAAGUUCCUUAUUUGCUUCUGAUACUGGGGACUUAGGGACCACACUGGAAAUACAGCCCCUGGGCUAUAGUACACCUAUAUAUCUGACAAAAAUGGUUACAGUUUCAGAGAGACCUCUAAUAUUUUGUGUGUUCUUUACUUUGUAAUUUUUUCCCUCAACUUUUUUUUCCCUUUCAAAAAACUGAAUGAAUGGAAAACAUGUUGAGACAAUGAGUACUGAUGUUUAAUAAAUUUUGGAAACUUGCAGGUCAGAUUGUUUUUUUUUGUAAAACAGAUACUAAAUAUUCCAAAUACAUUUUUAAAAAACCAUAGUAUCGCCUUUCUUGUCUGUUUUCCCACUAAGUGCAUACCUCAGGGACUUAUUUUUGAUUCCCCAAUGCCUGAACACAGAGCUGGGUACUUAAUAAAUGUUGGUUUUAUUAAUUUAUAUGUGAAAUUGGUUUUCAAAUAAUAGCAAAGUCUACAAAACACAGACACAUGUCUCCUUUUAUGGAGAAAUUUUAGGGUCAUACUUAACCCAAGUCUCAUUCUAUUUAUAGAAGAGACUACUGCAUCAUGGUCUCUGAAUGCAUCUGUCCACUGUUGAGCUCUUCCUUGGGUUUCCUGUAUAAACCAUUGCACUUAUCCUCUUCCUGUGCUUCACUUCCUUUGGCUUUAUUUUUUAAUAAACCAGCUAUCUAUCUCCUUUUGUAAUAGAGCCAUGUUCUGUGUUUUUUGUUUUUGUUUUUUUACAGAGCAUGUGAUCAGGAGAGAGGGGCAGAGGAAGAGAGAGAAUCUUAGGCUCCACUUUCAGCACGAAGCCUGAUGCAGUGCUUGGGGCUUGAUCCCACAACCCUGGGAUCACCACCUGAGCCAAAAUCAAGAGUUGGAUGCUCAACCGACUGAGCCACCCUAUAUGACCCCAAGCCAUAUUGUUUCUUACGCUUCUAGGACAAAAGUAUAUUGAACACUUCUUACUUUGAGAAAGUUGAAGGUUUUGUAAAGGCUUUUUACAUUUUUUUAGAUUGGCAAAAUUUGAGCCACAUAAUGUUCCUGCCAUGUAUUUUUUAUGCAAAGAGGAGGUUUGGUAUCAUUAUGCUUUGCAACUCUUAAUCCAGAAUUUGAUAGGGAUCAGCAUCACAAGGAUAAGACUACUUUGACUAUUUUUAGGCCAAUCUUAUGGAGAGCACUUUGGCAGGCUGGGAAUUUUUUGUUAUUUUACCUACUGGCAUACUACUUUAUGCUGGAGGACAUAUUUCAGAAGACUUUUUUUUCCUUAUCCAUGACUCCCCAUUCUUGAUGGAGUGGGUAAGAAACUGGAUUAUUAGAGAGCUGUUAGUAGCAUGGAAUUAAACAUUGAGGUUUAUUUUAUCCAAGCCAGGGUUGAACCUGAGUAUCCUGAUAUCCUGGUAUAUACCUUCUUGGUGAUUACAGAGGCUAUUUCUGCCUCUUUGAUUGCAUCUCAUAGUCAUGAUUACAUUUAAUAAUCUUGCUUUCCAGGUUUUUGCCUAGAGUUCACGGUUAACACCGAUUUUUACCAAUUUGCCCUGGCACUUAGUCAUCCUGUUUUUUAGUUUUUGGGUUUUUUUUAAACAUGUUUAAUAUUGGAUCUUCCUGUUGACAGCAGUAACAUAUUUUCAGAUUAUGUUUAUAGAAUUGAUUAUUUUACUAGCCAACUAACCUAACCCCACCUCUAGGGUAUGGAUUCUGGUCAAGUCAGUCAACAUUCUUCAUAACCUUUCUUAUUUUUCCUGACCUUUGGUUAAAAAUCUCUUCCCAAACUAUUUACUAUAAUAAAUAAUGACAACAUGGUUCUAGUGCCUGCUAUAGGCAAAGGCUAACGUAAAUAGUUGGGUUAGAAGAAAUGAAUAAUCAUGGAAUGCCACUUCUGUAACACAUAGUGUGCUAAACUGCCAGUGUAUUUAGUGUGGUCCUCAUACAUAAAAUCCCAUCUUCCAGAGUAGAAAACUAGAACUCCUUGAGGUUGAAAAA